GGGGCUGACUUGGUUUCGACGGGAAUAUUAGAGCAUGGAUGGCAGGUCGAUUGUCCACGUCACGGGCACAAAAAAAUAAACGCAAAUAAAAUUAAAAACGUAUUCGCAAACAUGUUUGGUGGAAACCAAGCUGUUGCUUUCGCCUAAUAAUAAAAUAGGGAAUACACUCUUUUCUAAUUUUUACCUAGGAAUUAGUUAAGGGUUCAGAUUUAUAGGUUAUAGCUAGCUUUUGUCUAGAAGUUAGAAAGAAUAUUUAGACUGGUACAUUAUCUUGGUCGUUAAUUACUUGGAUGAUGUAUAAGAAUAAUUAGUUAACUAAGCUUGUAGAAGUUUAUGUAGCUGUAUUUUCGGACAGGAGUUCGAUUCUCCUCAGCUCCACCA
rnacentral:tmRNA from 1 species